rnacentral:rRNA from 1 species
GAGUUUGAUCCUGGCUCAGUGACGAACGCUGGGGGCGUGCUUAACACAUGCAAGUCGAGCGGUAAGGCCCCUUCGGGGGUACACGAGCGGCGAACGGGUGAGUAACACGUGAGCAACCUACCCUUCACUUUGGGAUAACCCCGGGAAACCGGGGCUAAUACCGAAUACGACCACCUGCGGCAUCAUAGGUGGUGGAAAGUUCCGGCGGUGAAGGAUGGGCUUGCGGCCUAUCAGCUUGUUGGUGGGGUAACGGCCCACCAAGGCAACGACGGGUAGCCGGCCUGAGAGGGUGACCGGCCACACUGGGACUGAGACACGGCCCAGACUCCUACGGGAGGCAGCAGUGGGGAACAUUGGACAAUGGGCGAAAGCCUGAUCCAGCAACGCCGCGUGAGGGAUGACGGCCUUCGGGUUGUAAACCUCUUUCAGCAGGGACGAAGCGCAAGUGACGGUACCUGCAAAAGAAGCACCGGCCAACUACGUGCCAGCAGCCGCGGUAACACGUAGGGUGCAAGCGUUGUCCGGAAUUAUUGGGCGUAAAGGGCUCGUAGGCGGU